rnacentral:sRNA from 1 species
AGUUCAGCCAAGUGCAGGCACUGUCAUGUUCAUGGCCACCAGGCACCUGCCAAGCACCAGGCUCUGUGCUGCCCACUUCACACAGAUGGUCUCACUUGGCCUUGAUGACAACCUGUGGAGGUCUGUGUUCUGUUAAAAUAUGGAAGAAUUAAGAGAAGAACGAAGAAAUAAGGGCAGAAACUCCACUGGGGAAUACUUGUCUUAACCCUGAAAAAGUUCAAGGCUCUUGUUCAAGGUCUGAAUUUUUCCCUUGAGAUUUGCUUGUAGUCCUUAAAGUCAUCUUCAGAUAUCUGAUCAAGGCAGCAUCCGCGGAAAAUUGUAAGAAAUGAUGGAAGAAUUGCAUAGCCUGGACCCACGACGGCAGGAAUUAUUGGAGGCCAGGUUUACUGGAGUAGGUGUUAGUAAGGAAUGUUGUAAGGUCUCUGGGAGUCAAACUAUUUUGAUUGCUAUUUUGACUCUGGUAUGGUGUGAAAAGGAAAACUAGAAAAGAGGAGGAAAAAACAAUAAAUAUGCAAGAAGAAAUAAAUACAUUGCAAAACAGAAGAAUGGGAAAUAAUCAAGAGUUGGAAAAUUAGGAAA